rnacentral:misc_RNA from 1 species
GAAUCCCUCAGGGAAAACAUCAACAUCUCGAUAAAAUGUGCAGCUUUGCUCAACUGAUACACUCUAUACAUCUCAAAAAUAAUCGGUAAUAGAGGCCAACACGAUGAUCGACGCUUUUCAAGGUGCAGCUCAAAUGCGUACUGUGCAGCGCAUCCAAGUAGAUAAGGAGCCACCGCAAUCAAGGCUGGUAGGCCAAUAACUGGCCAAACAACA